GAUGAAGAACGUAGCGAAAUGCGAUACUUGGUGUGAAUUGCAGAAUCCCGUGAACCAUCGAGUCUUUGAACGCAAGUUGCGCCCGAAGCCAUUAGGCCGAGGGCACGCCUGCCUGGGCGUCACACGUCGUUGCCCCCCCAUCUACUCCUUCGGGAUUGCGGGGGGCGGAUGAUGGCCUCUCGUGCGCCUCGUCGCGCGGUUGGCCUAAAUGCCAAGUCCUCGGCGACGCACGCCACGACAAUCGGUGGUUGCGAAACCUCGGUUGCCUGUCGUGUGCGGUCGUCGCGCAUCGAGGGCUCGAAAAGAUUGCCGGGCUUCGGCUCGACUUUCAACGCGACCCCAGGUCAGGCGGGGUUACCCGCUGAAUUUAAGCAUAUCAAUAAGCGGAGGA
rnacentral:misc_RNA from 1 species